GAUGAACGCUGGCGGUAUGCUUAACACAUGCAAGUCGAACGGUCACUUCGGUGAUAGUGGCGGACGGGUGAGUAACGCGUGAGAAUCUGUCUUCAGGUCGGGGACAACAGUUAGAAAUGACUGCUAAUACCGGAUGUGCCUUUGGGUGAAAGAUUUAUUGCCUGAAAAAGAGCUCGCGUCAGAUUAGCUAGUAGGUGGUGUAAGAGACUACCUAGGCUCCGAUCUGUAACUGGUCUGAGAGGACGAUCAGCCACACUGGAACUGAGACACGGUCCAGACUCCUACAGAAGGCAGGAGUGGGUGAUUUAGCGAAGUGGGCGGAAGGCAGACGGAGCAAUGCCGCGUGAGGGACGAAGGCUUUUGGGUAGUAAACCUCUUUACUCAAGGAAGAUGAUGACGGUACUUGAAGAAUAAGCAUCGGCUAACUCUGUG
rnacentral:rRNA from 1 species